UAAGGAAUAUUGGGCAAUGGACGCAAGUCUGACCCAGCCAUGCCGCGUGCAGGAUGACAGCCCUACGGGUUGUAAACUGCUUUUGUACGGGAAAAACCCCUCGCUCGUGAGCGGGGCUGAUGGUACCGUAAGAAUAAGGAUCGGCUAACUCCGUGCCAGCAGCCGCGGUAAUACGGAGGAUCCAAGCGUUAUCCGGAUUCAUUGGGUUUAAAGGGUCCGCAGGCGGAUUAAUAAGUCAGGGGUGAAAUCCUACGGCUCAACCGUAGAACUGCCCUUGAUACUGUUAGUCUAGAGUACAGUUGAGGUAGGCGGAAUGUGUCAUGUAGCGGUGAAAUGCAUAGAUAUGACACAGAACACCGAUCGCGAAGGCAGCUUACCAAGCUGUAACUGACGCUCAGGG
rnacentral:rRNA from 1 species